rnacentral:snRNA from 1 species
CAAUCAGAUGUUUAUAUGUGUCA